AACGAACGCUGGCGGCAUGCCUAACACAUGCAAGUCGAACGAGACCUUCGGGUCUAGUGGCGCACGGGUGCGUAACGCGUGGGGAUCUGCCCUUUGCUUCGGAAUAACAGUUAGAAAUGACUGCUAAUACCGGAUGAUGACUUCGGUCCAAAGAUUUAUCGGCAAAGGAUGAACCCGCGUAGGAUUAGCUAGUUGGUGGGGUAAAGGCCUACCAAGGCGACGAUCCUUAGCUGGUCUGAGAGGAUGAUCAGCCACACUGGGACUGAGACACGGCCCAGACUCCUACGGGAGGCAGCAGUGGGGAAUAUUGGACAAUGGGCGAAAGCCUGAUCCAGCAAUGCCGCGUGAGUGAUGAAGGCCUUAGGGUUGUAAAGCUCUUUUACCCGGGAUGAUAAUGACAGUACCGGAGAAUAAGACUCCGGCUAACUCCGUGCCAGCAGCCGCGGUAAUCUGAGUCGGAG
rnacentral:rRNA from 1 species